CAAGAAUAAAAAUUCUAUCUUGAAACCAGAUACGCAUUCAAAUUACAACACUUCUAAUUUCUCAUGCAUUUAUGCUGUUGCUUUUUUGCAGAGUAGCUUAGAUAUUAUUUCUUCUGAUAUUUUGUGUUUGGAGAGACACUUAUCAACAAGCUAACAAUAUGGCAGAAUUUGAGAAAACGCAACUCUUUGAAAUCUAUUCAGAGCUGGUAGAGACUGAGUCAGUAUUUGCAUUUUACCAUUGCACUGAGGGGGAGGCAGAUAUGCUAGAGACGACCGGGAAAAUAAAGUGCUCAAGUCUGAUGGGUGAAAAAAACGACACUUAUGGAAUUACCUUCAUUGUCAAAAAGAAGAAUAGUUUUCAAGAUGUCAUGGACAAAGAUUUUGACACUUUCAUCAAACUUCCCAGAAAAUGGGUAGAGGACCAAGAUCUCAGCAAUUUUUGGACUAUUACUCAUAUAGCGAUCGAUGGUGAUGAUGAAACGACACAACUAACAAUUGAGGGAAAGAAACAGUUUUUGGACAUUUCAGAUGCAGACUUUGUGGCUCGGGUUGAGGUCCCAAACCUGCAUAUUCAUUUUGGUGGACUUCAGUUGUUCUAGAAUGAUUACCAGACUAAUACCGAAGGAAAGUUUUUGGGUGCCUCAAAGAUUGCUCUCAGAUCAUCGACUUAAAGAAGUUGUCAAUGAAAAUUUUCGAAACAGUAAUGGGAAGAAAUGGUUUCAUGUUUUUGACUAAAAUUGGCUACAAAAAUGUUUUUAGAAGAACAUUAUUUCAUAUUAAACCGUAAAUUUGUUCUGUUUGGAACAUGAAAGAAACUUUGAAACAGAAUUAUUUUUUUAUAAAGUUUGAGCUUUCUUUACAGCAAACUUCUAGAACGCUUGCAGUAAGUUGGGUUUUUUUCGAAGGAGUUUGUAUAGUUUUUUCUAUGCUCAUGGACGAGUUAAGAAAAAAUAGGUAUCAGGACUCGCUUGUCCUUAGGAUUUGGCCUAGUUACGGCAAAAAAAGGGUAUGGUUGAUUACUCAAAUCAGGGUCCUAUUUUUUUGCAAAAAAAAAACUUCAAUGUUUAAACGACCUUUGAUUCCAAAAAAAUGGAUCGUUCCGUGAUCAUUCUAGGCUAGUUGCACAGGCACAGUAUGAGCUUGCCUAAAUUAGUUGCUCUCAAGUAACCUCUGUCGCUUUUGUUAUUUCGUUUUAGUUUUUUGCCAGUCCAAGCUAUUACUUCCACUACACGACAAAAGAAAAUGUGCAGAAGAUAAUAUCCUCUGGGUUUAUUAAAUCUGGUAGCAACCACAAGAAAUUUUCAGGUGUGUACAAGCCGUGUGUUUGCAUCACUGAUGCUGAUUUUGAAGCCGAUACUAAAUACAUCACGAACCAGUGCUUUGGCAAUGUAGAGAAUGAAAAAAAAGAAGAAAAGUUAGUUGCAUAUAUCCAGUUGCCGAAAAAAUCAGUUCAUGAGUACGCAAUUCAAAACGGAUUUGAAAUAUUGCGAUAUAAGUUUCGGCCACAGCGCAGGUCAUUUGUUGUGACUACAGGAGCCGAACCGCUUUACUUGGACAAAAUUGAGGACUGGGGUUUCGGAUAUCGAAACUUGUAAACUGUGUUUUGAGCUGCAACAAGAAAUGAUCACCAUGAAACUUUGAAACUCAUCGAAACUCAUCAUAAAAGACAGUAAUUACAAAAAUAUUUUUGUAAAAGUUUCAUUUAAUUGCAAUGUUUCUGUGUGUUACUGGUCAAUUAGGUUGAACUUAGUUACAAAGGAAUCGAUUAAUUUGUUAA